rnacentral:rRNA from 1 species
AGUGAACGCUGGCGGUAGGCCUAACACAUGCAAGUCGAACGGCAGCACAGUAAGAGCUUGCUCUUACGGGUGGCGAGUGGCGGACGGGUGAGGAAUACAUCGGAAUCUACUUUUUCGUGGGGGAUAACGUAGGGACACUUACGCUAAUACCGCAUACGACCUACGGGUGAAAGCAGGGGAUCUUCGGAACUUGCGCGAUUGAAUGAGCCGAUGUCGGAUUAGCUAGUUGGCGGGGUAAAGGCCCACCAAGGCGACGAUCCGUAGCUGGUCUGAGAGGAUGAUCAGCCACACUGGAACUGAGACACGGUCCAGACUCCUACGGGAGGCAGCAGUGGGGAAUAUUGGACAAUGGGCGCAAGCCUGAUCCAGCCAUACCGCGUGGGUGAAGAAGGCCUUCGGGUUGUAAAGCCCUUUUGUUGGGAAAGAAAAGCAGCAGGUUAAUACCCCGCUGUUCUGACGGUACCCAAAGAAUAGGCACCGGCUAACUUCGUG